AAUUUGGGGAAAAGAUGAUUGUUUUGGACAAGAUUAAAUUUGAAUUUUCAUAAAUUAGUUUUUUAUUUUAAUUUUUAUUUUAAACAUCUAUGAGAGGAAGUUAGGCUGCGCCCUAGGGAAGAAUUUGGAGAAAAUAUUUCUAGAGCAUAGAUACAAAUUGGCAUGAAAGAAUUUGUAAGCAAAUGGUAAUUAUAAAUGAUCUAUAAUUGUUCGUCUAAUGGAUAAGGUGUUUUUUUUUUUUUUAAUUAUAUCAAGUGUGAUGUCUGGUUCGAGUCGUUUUGUUAGAACUACUUCCCUUUCCCUUGUUACCCUCUUACCAAUUUUUCUUUUUCCUACAUAUAAAUAAUAUUUUUAAAAAUGGCCUAUUGCAAUUUGCAUCAUUGUUAUGGCUGUGUUGAGGGCCUUUGGGUUUCAACUAGGGUGGGGUUGAUCUUGGCAGUGUUCCCUUCUUAGCUGUAAAUGGUUUAGAGUCUUGCUCAUCAUGGGCUCAUUUCCAGGAUUUUUAUUGACUAUAACUUUCAAUAACAAGCAAAUCAUACGUCGCACCAAAUACAAUACAUAAAAACCCAAUCUUCAUGUAAAAAUGUGUGGAGUGGAAGCAUGCUUUACCCAAACAUUUUUCCACUAUUAGGGAAGUCUAUUGCUGUAAAAAAAUCCAGGUGAAGGUUUCUAGUACUAAAUCCAUUUUACAUCUAAUCUCUAGGUGAUGUCAAGUUUAUUAUAUUUUUAUGGCAUGUUUGGUUUGCUAAAGGAGAUCCUGCUUCACCGGUACUUCAGCAAGGUAUUCUAAUACUUUCUGUCUACCAAUAAGUAACAUUGUGGAUGUGAACUCAUAUAAUGAGUUGAAAGAUGCAAUUAGUCAGGGGAAAUGGGCAAGGGGUCCGUGGUCUGCAAGUGACAAAGAUGAGUUGAGGGUGAAAGAAGAAACAGGGGCAACAAUUCGGUGUUUUCCUUUUGAACAGCCCGAAGGCAGAAGUAAGACAUGCUUGAUGACGGGCAAUCCAGCAGAGGAAGUUGCAAUUUUCGCCAAGUCAUACUGAAUCUCCAG